rnacentral:lncRNA from 1 species
GACGCGCGGCCGCACCGGGAGGCCGGGCCGAGUGGUUCAAUUUCAAAUUUGAAUCUCCUGUAAUAUUGACUGUAAACUAAUUUCCCAAGAUUUUUGUGUAAGAGGCAGAUGAAAAAGACUGUACUUUCAGGUGAAUUUUUUUUUUUUUUGGCUUUUGUUGUUGUUGUUGUUGCUAUUUCUUGGGCCGCUCCCGCGGCAUAUGGAGGUUCCCAGGCUAGGGGUUGAAUCGGAGCUGUAGCCACCGGCCUACGCCAGAGCCACAGCAACGCAGGAUCCAAGCCGCGUCUGCAACCUACACCACAGCUCACGGCAACGCCGGAUCGUUAACCCACUGAGCAAGGGCAGGGACCGAACCCGCAACCUCCUGGUUCCUAGUCGGAUUCGUUAACCACUGCGCCACGACGGGAACUCCAAAGUACAGAGGUGCCAAUGGGCUGGCUACUUAAAACAAUUAGAGAAGCAGUAUGUGAUGGCAAUUAAAACACAUACAAAUGUUCAUUCAAAAUAGUAUGUAAAGCUGUAUUUAAGUUUAUUUCAGGAGGAGGAAAUCAUCCUCCUAAUACCUACCUUUUCCUUCCCGUGAUUGCUUUAUCAAUCUAUCAUCUGUUUGUCUACCUAGCUUUUGUUUUUUAAAGCUUAAAGACAUGGAUGCUUUUAAGAUUAAUUUCUCUAUCUCUGUGGCAUCACAAAGUACUAUUGUAAUAGUUCUGGGCAUGAGAAGAUUAUAGCAAGAAGAUCUGUACUCGAAAUAAUUUGGAAUUUGGGAGUUAGUAUUUAGAAAUGAAUUUCUUCCCAGGAAGAAAGGGAACUGUGCAGUCUAGAAAAAAACCAAAACCAAAAAAUAGCUCCCCCAACCCAAAUCUGAAAAAAAAGCAUGACAUAGAUAAAUUGUGCUGAGUUGGGAUUGUCGUGUUUUUGGAUACAAAUGAAAGUACAUUUCAGAGAAGUAAUAAAUUACCUUUUUAAUCAGUUACCAAAUUUUCCUAAUUGAUUUUGAGGUACUGAAUCACUUCUAAAUUAGUCUUUUAAAAUAGAUUUUAUUGGAGUAUAGUUAACUUACAAAGUUGUGCUAGUUUCAGGAUACUUCAAUUUAUACAUAUACAUAUAUCAAUUCCUUUUCAGAUUCUUUUCCCAUGUAGGUUAUUACACAGUACUGAGUAGAGUUCCCUGUGCUAUAUAGUAGGUCUUUGUUACCUAUUUUAUUUUAUUUUUUAUGAUUUUUAUUUUUUCCAUUAUAGUUGAUUUACAAUGUUCUGUCAAUUUCUACUGUACAGCAAAGUGACCCAGUCAUACAUAUAUAUAUAUAUAUUCUUUUUCUCACAUUAUCCUCCAUCAUGUUCCAUCACAAGUGACUAGAUAUAGUUCCCUGUGCUGUCCAGCAGGGUCUCAUUGCUUAUCCAUUCCAGGUGCAAUAGUUUGCAUCUGUUAAUCCCAAACUCCCAGACCAGACCAUCCCGCUCCCUCCCCCUCCCCCUUGGCAACCACAAGUCUGUUCUCCAAGUCCAUGAGUUUCCUUUCUAUGGAAAGGUUCAUUUGUGCCAUAUAUUAGAUUCCAGAUAUAAGUGAUAUCAGAUGGUAUUUGUCUUUCUCUGAGUUACUUCACUUAGUAUGGGAGUCUCUAGUUGCUGCAAAUGGCAUUAUUUUGUUCUUUUUUAUGGCUGAGUAUAUUCCAUUGUGUAUAUAAACCACAUCUUAAUCCAUUUAUCUGUCAAUGGACAUUUGGAUUUCCAUGUCUUGGCUGUUGUGAAUAAUGCUACAGUGAACAUAGGGGCGCAUGUUUCCAGAGUCAGCAGAAGGAAGGAAAUCAUCAAAGAGGAAAUCAAUAAAAUAGAGAUUUAGGAGUUCCCGUUGUGGCACAGUAGAAAUGAAUCUGACUAGGAACCAUGAGAUUGCAGGUUCAAUCCCUGGCCUCACUCAGUGGGUUAAGGAUCUGGUGUUGCCAUGAGUUGUGGUAUAGGUCACAGAUGUGGCUCAGAUCUGGUGUUGCUGUGGCUGUGGCUGGCACUGGUAGCUCCGAUUGGACCCCUAACCUGGGAACCUCCAUAUG